AGUGAACGCUGGCGGUAGGCCUAACACAUGCAAGUCGAACGGCAGCACAGGAGAGCUUGCUCUCUGGGUGGCGAGUGGCGGACGGGUGAGGAAUACAUCGGAAUCUACUCUGUCGUGGGGGAUAACGUAGGGAAACUUACGCUAAUACCGCAUACGGCCUACGGGUGAAAGCAGGGGACCUGCGGGCCUUCCGCGAUUGAACGAGCCGAUGUCGGAUUAGCUAGUUGGCGGGGUAAAGGCCCACCAAGGCGACGAUCCGUAGCUGGUCUGAGAGGAUGAUCAGCCACACUGGAACUGAGACACGGUCCAGACUCCUACGGGAGGCAGCAGUGGGGAAUAUUGGACAAUGGGCGCAAGCCUGAUCCAGCCAUACCGCGUGGGUGAAGAAGGCCUUCGGGUUGUAAAGCCCUUUUGUUGGGAAAGAAAUCCAGCUGGCUAAUACCCGGUUGGGAUGACGGUACCCAAAGAAUAAGCACCGGCUAACUUCGUGCCAGCAGCCGCCGUAA
rnacentral:rRNA from 1 species